ensembl:snRNA U6 U6 spliceosomal RNA
GUGCUCACUUUGGCAGCACAUAUACUAAAAUUGGAAUGAUACAGAAAAGAUUAGCAUGGCCCCUGCACAAAAAUAACACACAAAUUUGUGAAGCGUCCCAUAUUUUA